rnacentral:rRNA from 1 species
AGCUUUUGCGUAGGCUCUAAUCAGAUUCCAACAUUGAAUCGUACUGACGAGUGGAAGUAUCUCGGUAUACACUAUACUGCAAGUGGGAGGGUUUGAUGAAAUCCGGUAGAGGACAUUGGUCCAAAGCUACAAAGGUUGUCAGAGGCCCCCCUCGCUCGCCCUUCAAACUGUCCUGAUCCCACAACUCUAUCACAAGUUAUCCCUUGGGAGUGUGACGAUAGGCGUCUUAAGAAAGACUGACAAACUAAUAGGUUUCUAUGUGCGAAGAUGGCUAAAUCUUCCGUCGGAUGUGCCGGUAGCAUUCGUUCGAGGUAGAUUGAUAGCUGAACAAAAUGAAUUGUUAUCGCGUCCGGCAGUAGAAAAGUAUUGGGCGAACAGAUUGUACCUCUCCGUUGACGGCAGCGGACUCCGUGAAGCGGGCCACUAAGAUCCUCAACAUGGGUGGGUUAGUCAACCCACGCGUUUACUAACAGGAAAGGAAUAUAUAGACGGUAUUCGUCUGCGGAUAAAUGCCCUACCCACAAAGUCUCGUACUACGAGGGGAAGGCACGAGUUGGAACGGCAGUGUCGUGCGGGAUGUGACGCUCCCGAAACAACAAACCACAUUAUGCAAAAAUGCUAUCGUUCGCAUGGGAGGCGCGUAGCUAGACACAACUGCGUAGUAAAUCGAAUCAAGCGGGGACUUGAGGAGAGAGGCUGCGUGGUCAUUGCUAAACCAAGUCUGCAGUGCGAAUCCGGCCUUAAUAAACCAGACCUGGCAGUUCGACAGUUAGACAGUUCAUGUACCUUAGCGGGUUUUCCCGUGAUUGGACUUAGACAAAAACAUUUGGUUCACAUACAUCUGCCUGCUGCCUUGGCACAAUAUCAAAAAGGCAUAAACAUCGCACAUAUUGGUUAUUUACGGCUAUGAGGAUGGUUUUAGUACGUAGGCGUUGCGGAACCUCUGUUCAGAUAGAAUCGUGCAUGCAAGGUAAACUGACCACAAGAAAAAUGGCAGCCCUAGUAUCUCUCAAAGAUUUCCAUACCUUUGCGAUCAAAAAAAAAAAAAAAUAGCCAAAUGCCUCGUCAUCUAAUUAGUGACGCGCAUGAAUGGAUUAACGAGAUUCCUACUGUCCCUAUCUACUAUCUAGCGAAACCACAGCCAAGGGAACGGGCUUGGAAUAAAUAGCGGGGAAAGAAGACCCUUUUGAGCUUGACUCUAAUCUGGCAGUGUAAGGAGACAUAAGAGGUGUAGAAUAAGUCGGAGAUAUUAGACCUCGGUUUGGUAUCGUCAAUGAAAUACCACUACUCUUAUUGUUUCCUUACUUACUUUAUUAAAUGGAACGUGUAUCAUUUCCCAGCCAUUAUACGGAUAUAUUUAUUAUAUCUUAUGGUAUUGGGUUUUGAUGCAAGCUUCUUGAUCAAAAUAUCACGAGUUUGUUAUAUAAUCGCAAACAAAUUCUUUAAUAAAACGAUGCAUUUAUGUAUUUAUACACGUUACUCGUAGAGUAAAAGGGUAUACUAGAUUCGUUGAAAAGUAUGUAACAGGCAGAAGGAAGCGUUUCCGACCAUAUAAAGUAUAUAUAUUCUUGAUCAGGAUCAAUAGCCGAGUCGAUCUGGCCAUGUCCGUCUGUCCGUCCGUCUGUCCGUCCGUCUGUCCGUCCGUAUGAACGUCGAGAUCUCAGGAACUACUAAAGCUAGAAAGUUGAGACUAAGCAUACAAACUCCAGGGACAUAGAAGCAGCGCAAGUUUGUCGAUUCAUGUUGCCACGCCCACUCUAACGCCCACAAACCACCCAAAACUCCCACGCCCACACUUUUGAAAAAUGUUUUGAAAUUUUUCCAUUUUUAUAUUAGUCUUGUUAUUUUCUAUAAAUUUACGAAAAAACUUUCUGCCAUGCCCACUCUAACGCCCACAAACCGCCCAAAACUCCCACGCCCACACUUUUGAAAAAUGUUUUGAAAUUUUUCCAUUUUUAUAUUAUGUCUUGUUAUUUUCUAUCUAUUUACGAAAAAACUUUUUGCCACGCCCACUCUAACGCCCUCAAACCGCCCAAAGCUGAUACGCCCACACUUUUGAAAAAUGUUUUGAUAUUUUUUCAUUUUUAUAUUGGUCUUGUGAAUUUUUUAUCGAUUUGCCAAGAAACGUUCUGCCACGCCCACUAUAAGGCUUACAAACCGCCAAAAACUGUGUUUAGGACUCUCCUUUUCCCUUCCACUAGCUGAGUAACGGGUAUCAGAUAGUCGGGGAACUCUCUCUUCUUUUGAUUUGAAAAUUUGGUAUAACUCCAAUUUCUCAGGUAUGAUCCAAUUCAAGGACAUUGCCAGGUAGGGAGUUUGACUGGGGCGGUACAUCUCUCAAAUAAUAACGGAGGUGUCCCAAGGCCAGCUCAGUGCAGACAGAAACACACAUAGAACAAAAGGGCAAAUGCUGACUUGAUCUCGGUGUUCAGUACACACAGGGACAGCAAAAGCUCGACCUAUCGAUCCUUUUGAUUUAAAGAGUUUUUAACCAGAAGUGUCAGAAAAGUUACCAUAGGGAUAACUGGCUUGUGGCGGCCAAGCGUUCAUAGCGAAGUCGCUCUGAUGUCGGCUCUUCCUAUCAUUGUGAAGCAAAAUUCACCAAGCGUUGGAUUGUUCACCCAUGCAAGGGAAAGUGAGCUGGGUUUAGACCGUCGUGAGACAGGUUAGUUUUACCCUACUAAUGACAAAACGUUGUUGCGACAGCAUUCCUGCGUAGUACGAGAGGAACCGCAGGUACGGACCAAUGGCACAAUACUUAUUCGAGCGAACAGUGGUAUGACGCUACGUCUGUUGGAUUAUGCCUGAACGCCUCUAAGGUCGUAUCCGUGCUGGUCUGCAAUGAUAAAUAAGGGGCAAUUUGCAUUGUAUGGCUUCUAAACCAUUUAAAGUUUAUAAUUUACUUUAUAAACGACAAUGGAUGUGAUGCCUAUGUAAUUUGUAACAUAGUAAAUUGGGAGGAUCUUCGAUCACCUGAUGCCGCGCUAGUUACAUAUAAAAGCAUUAUUU